CUUCAAUUGAAGCCCCAAAUCAGCUCCAAAUCAAGCUCUAAUCACAUAUUAGUAAACACCUCGUUGUAAGGAUCAAAAGGCAAAGAGUCCGGUUCCUCUAGCGGGCAAGCCGGAGGGGAUUCACGAGGAAAAGGCGCGCUCUAAAGUUCUCAGGUACCCAAG